UACGUAGGGUGCGAGCGUUGUCCGGAAUUACUGGGCGUAAAGAGCUCGUAGGUGGCUUGUCGCGUCUGCCGUGAAAGCCCGUGGCUUAACUACGGGUCUGCGGUGGAUACGGGCAGACUUGAGUUCGGCAGGGGAGACUGGAAUUCCUGGUGUAGCGGUGAAAUGCGCAGAUAUCAGGAGGAACACCGGUGGCGAAGGCGGGUCUCUGGGCCGAUACUGACGCUGAGGAGCGAAAGCGUGGGGAGCGAACAGG
rnacentral:rRNA from 1 species